CCAAUUUAACAUCAAACUCAGAUGUUGAGCGUGAAGGAUAACGUUGCGUCAGCAACGGCCCGUAGGGCGAGGCGAAGCCGAGUCAUCCUGCACGACCCACCA
rnacentral:sRNA from 1 species